rnacentral:lncRNA from 1 species
UUUUUCCCCCUAAAAGGGGACAGUUAGAAGCUAAAAUAAAAUUAUCUACAUAGAGAAAGAGAAAGGCAAAACUGAACGUUCUUUAUUCCACACUUUUGCUCUUGGACUAAUGUUUACAUCUUACAUAAUUUUAAAACAUAAGCAAGAAGCAAAUCCAUAAACAGCAAAAGCAAAUAAAUCCAACUGUGUAUCAACUUGAUGGCAUAAUCCCUCAGGAGAAAACUGUCAAGUGAUCUUAAAAAUUAGAGUGAUUUUCACUGUGAUUCUCUAGUGGAAUAUUGUUUAAAAAGAAUUACAAAGGAAACAAAUUGUAUUUAGUGGCCUUAUUAUUUGUUAUCCUGGUAUUAAUGUUUUGAAUUAUUGUAUUUCACAGGGUAAAAUGAAUAAUUAUGUUGAUGUUAACAAAACUUUUAAUGUUACAAUGUAAAAUAAAAAACCUUAAAAUCUUAAUAUGAACUUAAAAUCAGUAAAACAAGUAUUCCCUAAUCUGUUGUAAAGGCCUAGAAAGACCAAUAAUCCAAUGAUAAUCAGCAUUAAUAGUGCCCAAAUUCUGAUCUCUAAAAUUUCUCACUAAAAUAAACCCUUUACUAAAUGGCCAGCUCCAGGUCUAGGACAGGAAAUGUGUAAGAUGGGCCUUUAUCAUACCAAUUAAGCAGGAAGUGUUCAAAAUCAGACUUGUGGGGUUCUGUCAAAGGGACACUGUAACUUAAAAUGGGGUAAUUUGAACAUCAAAGAGAAUAAAAUGAAUCAAAACAUCAUAGGGCUUGGCCAAGGAGGACUAGGAAGACUGGGCUCACCUCCUCUCACCGGCACUGCAAAAUUACAAUUUACAGAGCAAUUAUGAAUGACAAGAACCAGAAGUCUAGCAGAAAAGAUUUACAACUAAGGAUACAAGGAAGGAACCACGAGACAGGAGGAGCAGAGCUGCAAUAUAUCAAGACCCAUACCCCUGGGCAGGUGAUGCACAAAUGGGAGGUUAAUUACAACUGCAGAGGUUCUCCCCAAGGAGCAAGAGGUCUGAGCCCCACAUCAAGCUCAACAACACUGGUACACUGAGAUGAGCCCCCAGGAUGUCUGGCACUGAAGGUUAGUGGGGCUUACUUUGGGGAGCUCUACACUCUUGAAGGGCACACACAAAAUCACACGCUCCAAGACCCAGGGCAGAAGCAGUAAUCUAAAAAGGAGCCUGGGUCACACCCAUCUGCUGAACCUGGAGUCUCCUGGAGACGCCAGGAGCAACGGCAGCUCACCCUGGGGACAGACACUGGCAGCAGCCGUCUUUGCAUGUGCCUUCUACCAUGGGGUCACUGGUGCUGGCAAGUGCCAUUUUG